GGGCCCGUAGCCUAGUCUGGAUAAGGCGACGGCCUUCUAAGCCGUAGAUCGGGGGUUCGAAUCCCCCCGGGCUCA
rnacentral:tRNA from 1 species